rnacentral:lncRNA from 1 species
UCAACAUUUUUCUCUCUUGCCUCUAGAUCACUCAUAGUCUUGUGGAUAGUACAAUAAACUAUAGUGUUCUAGUUAAGUUAAUCCUUUAAUCCCAUAUGGUCAUAUAUAAACAAUGUUGCCCUUGUGGAUAGCACAACAAGGCAACACUACUCAAAUAUGCCAUAAGUAUCAAUAUGCACUUAGUUAACAUCAUAUCAAUUUCUAUAGUAAGCCUUAUGGAUAGCACAACAAGCUCACUAAGAUCUUGAUAUACUCUAUUGACCAAGUAUGAAGGAAGGCUUUUGUAGUGUCUACAUCACUAAUCAAUCUAAGUUUGAAACUCAAUAAGAUCAAAUUGGCUAGGUCUGUAAAUGAGAGGCUCUCCGUAGCUUUUCUUAGACACCAACAA